rnacentral:tRNA from 1 species
GGGUCCGUAGUCUAAUGGUAGGACGCCGCUCUCACACAGCGGAGAAUUGGGUUCAAUUCCCAACGGACCCA